rnacentral:tRNA from 1 species
UGUCCGGUAGCUCAAUUGGUGGGAGCGCCGCUCUGAUACGGCGGAGGUUGGAGGUUCAAUCCCUCCCCGGACAA